rnacentral:rRNA from 1 species
ACGGAAUAGAUACCCGGGUAGUCCACGCGGUAAACGAUGAAUACUAGCCCGAUGGGGUGUUAAAGCCUUAGUGGCGCAGCUAAACGCGAUAAGUAUUCCGCCUGGGAAGUACGGCCGCAAGGUUAAAACUCAAAGGAAUUGACGGGGCCCGCACAAGCGGUGGAGUAUGUGGUUUAAUUCGAUGCAACGCGAAGAACCUUACCUACUCUUGACAUGGUGGGAAUGGCGUAGAGAUAUGCCAGUGCCGAAAGGAACCCACACACAGGUGCUGCAUGGCUGUCGUCAGCUCGUGUCGUGAGAUGUUGUCUUAAGUGACGCAACGAGCGCAACCCUUGCCUCUAGUUACCAUCAUUCAGUUGGGGACUCUAGAGGGACUGCUGGCCUAUGGCCGGAGAAGGGGG